rnacentral:tRNA from 1 species
GGGCCAGUGGCGCAACGAAUAACGCGCCUGACUACGGAUCAGGAGUUUCCAGGUUCGAAUUCUGGCAGGCUCA